AACGAACGCUGGCGGCAUGCCUAAUACAUGCAAGUCGAGCGAGACUCUUCGGAGUCUAGCGGCGGACGGGUGAGUAACACGUGGGCAACCUGCCUGUAAGACUGGGAUAACACCGGGAAACCGGUGCUAAUACCGGAUAAUCCUUUUCCUCUCAUGAGGAAAAGCUGAAAGUCGGUUUCGGCUGACACUUACAGAUGGGCCCGCGGCGCAUUAGCUAGUUGGUGAGGUAACGGCUCACCAAGGCGACGAUGCGUAGCCGACCUGAGAGGGUGGUCGGCCACACUGGGACUGAGACACGGCCCAGACUCCUACGGGAGGCAGCAGUAGGGAAUCUUCCACAAUGGACGAAAGUCUGAUGGAGCAACGCCGCGUGAGCGAUGAAGGCCUUCGGGUCGUAAAGCUCUGUUGUUAGGGAAGAACAAGUACCGGAGUAACUGCCGGUACCUUGACGGUACCUAACCAGAAAGCCACGGCUAACUACGUGCCAGCAGCCGCAGUAAAAC
rnacentral:rRNA from 1 species